rnacentral:rRNA from 1 species
GCAGGCAGCCAUAUCACCCUGUAGCCCAAGACUGGUUGCCCACUGAAGCUAAGCAGGGUUGAGCCUGGACAGUUCCUGGAUGUGAGACCUCCUGGGAAAACUAGGUUGCUGCUGGAA